rnacentral:rRNA from 1 species
GAUGAACGCUGGCGGCGUGCUUAACACAUGCAAGUCGAACGGAAAGGCUCCUGCUUGCAGGGGUACUCGAGUGGCGAACGGGUGAGUAACACGUGGGUGAUCUGCCCUGCACUUCGGGAUAAGCCUGGGAAACUGGGUCUAAUACCGGAUAGGACGAUGGUUUGGAUGCCAUUGUGGAAAGUUUUUCGGUGUGGGAUGAGCUCGCGGCCUAUCAGCUUGUUGGUGGGGUAAUGGCCUACCAAGGCGUCGACGGGUAGCCGGCCUGAGGGGGUGUACGGCCACAUUGGGACUGAGAUACGGCCCAGACUCCUACGGGAGGCAGCAGUGGGGAAUAUUGCACAAUGGGCGCAAGCCUGAUGCAGCGACGCCGCGUGGGGGAUGACGGCCUUCGGGUUGUAAACUCCUUUCGCUAGGGACGAAGCGCAAGUGACGGUACCUGGAGAAGAAGCACCGGCUAACUACGUG